GCCCUCCUAGCUCAAUCGGAAGAGCGUGGGACUUUUACGAGACUUUAGCGUACUGAGAUCCCAAGGUCGGGAGUUCGAGCCUCCCGGAGGGCG
rnacentral:tRNA from 1 species